UCUUGGAAGAGCAGGGGUACAAGGCUGGGUUGGGGGUGAGAAUGAUGGGAUGAGGGAUGAUUGCCCCACCAAGAUCUGGGGGAGGAGCAUUAUACAGGGCAAAAGGGACAGCAACAGCAAAGGCCCCAGGUGGGGAUUUGUUGGGCAGGGUUAAGGGACAGAGAAACAAGUAGAGGGACAGUGUCAUUGAGGUGGGGGGGCCUUACAGACUCCAUGAGGACGUGGCUUCUGCUGAGUGAGAGGGAGACACAGAAGAGCUUUGAGCAGAGGAGGACCUCUGUGUUUUAGCCUUAGAAAGAUCCCUCUAGCUGUUCUAAGAUCAGUGGUUUUCCAAGUGAUGUCCUGGCAGCAGCUCCUGACAACUUGCAGAAAUUCAGAUUCUCCAGCACCCUGCUGAAUCUGGAAUCCUGGUGCCCCUCAAGCAGCAUUGCUCAAGGUCUCCUGCCCGGCCAGAGGCUUGGAGAAGAAAGCAGGGUGGAAAUGAGAUUCACACUCUCUCUCCACCCACUCCCAGAACACUGUUGCAGCACACAGCCUGAUACAGGCUCUGCCAAAACCCACAAGCAAGAAACUGGUUUACCUUUGUUCAGCCCAGCUGAAUUAUAUAAUAGGCUUUCCUAACUUACUUGACCACAGAACUUUUUUUUUUUUUUUCCAGAGAACACUGUGAAACGUCCUGCACCAGUGCUACUUAGGGUGCACUUUGGUUUAUUUUCUCUGGGCUCCUGCACUGCACCUGGCACACAUUGGCCACUCAACAACCACUCUUUGGAAAGUACACAAAUCUCCCUAUGGUGACGCUGACUAGAUUUUGGGGAUUUAUAAAUCUACUGACCUCUCCUGAACUCAGGGGGACAUACUGGUUAUGUUGGAACCCCAGGGGUCUGGGAAGAUCAGGAACAAGAAGGGGAAGAAGGAGGGCUGCCUCUGGCCUUUUCAGAACAAUGACUGUCUCUUGUACUGAGACACCCUGCCUGAGCUUGCAGUUGAGUUAUGUGGCAGCUUUUCUAGAAGGUUCUUUCUGCCAGUGUGUUGCUUGUUAAGAAGGCUUGGGUGAGUCCCCCAGAGAUCAGGCUUUGUGGCGUCCUGUCUCACAGGCUCCUCCUGUGACCCUGACAGACAGCCAGGUAUCAGGCCUUCAGUGAGAGCAUAGCUGGGCUCUCCUUUGUUCCCAAGGAAACUUCACUGGGGCCCAUUCAUUAUUGAGAGGCAUUUGCCUUAAGGUUUGAGUAGAAUCUCAGGAGCCAGGUGGCUCAAGGAGCCCAGGGCCCAGGAAGUGCUUGAGGGGUCACAGGAUCACAGCUGUCCCUAUCAUGAGUGCCAGAAAGGACUUGGAACCACCAAGUCCAUGCCACCAUUAAACAGGUGAAAAAAUUGAGGUCCUGAAUGAAGAGACUGUUAUUAUCACACAGCUUGACUGUAGUGCCCCAGAGUCCACACAGGCCCGUUGGGUACUUUUCAGAGUUGUACAGGACCAUCAGGGCAUCCGUGAGUAUUAUGGACACAGAAAAGGCAAGCCGAGGGAAGGAUAGGGCUCUUGAUAGCCUUGACCUCAUCAGGGAUGUGGGUUGGGGAAGGGAUGGUAAUGACACAUCCCAGGGAGGUAGUGAGCACUUUGGGAGGUUGGGAUAGCAGUAAGGGGGAGGGGCAAAGUAACGUGCACAACCCUGUGACCCUACAUGGUUCAGCCCACGUGUGUGACCUCAUGUAUGACAAUGUCACAACCAUGGUGCACUGUGGCUGCCCUAGCAUGCCUGCCUGUAACAAUGUGACUUUGCAGCUAUAUAUGGCUAUGAGCAUGUGUGUUACUGUUCCUAUGAUCAGAGUGGCUGGGCAUGUGGCUGUGCAGAGGUGGUGUGCAGUGACUCUAGCACCUGUGGGCCUGAGACCAUGAAUGAACUUGAGAGAUAUCCAGUGUGUGCACCUCUGAAUGUGACUAGCAGGUUGCUCUGGCAGAAACUUGGCCCUAAGAACUCACAAACCUGAUUUGUCACUUCAGAGUUACCGGCAGAGAUGCAGGGAAACUGUGGAAAAAACUAUUUUCUAAAUGUAGUUAGGCAGAGGUAAAUGAGAGCAUUCCUGCUGCACGGUCAUGGUCAUCCUCUGAUGUGCUGGCCACAUAGGUGGUUGGAGAAAGACAACAAGAAGGGGCGAAGGUCUGGGAUGGGGAAGACUUACUACUUGUCCUGUGGUCUGUCCUGUAGCCCCCAUCCCAUGCCAGCUCUGCUCCACAGACCAGGCCCAGGAUCAGAGGUGGCCUGACUCAGGACAAGCACAGAGGGAGGCGUGGAGGAGGCUGCGUGGACACCUAAAACUACUUCACUUCAUCAAGGGUCUGAGGCUGCUCACAAGAACACAUACAAUUCAAUAUCAGAGAAAAAACAACCCUGGAAUCAAAGAUUUUGACCUUUGGGGCACCUGGGUGGCUCAGUCAGGCUGCUUCAGAUUCUGUGUCUCCCUCUUUCUCUGCCCCUCCCUGGCUCACACUCUGUCUCUCUCUCUGUCUCAAAAAUAAAUAAAAUGUUAAAAAAUUAAAAAAAAAAAGAUUUAAACCUUUGGCUUGCCCUUUGACCUAGUGAUUUAAUUUCUAAAUAUCCCACAGAAGUCCUCACCCCAUACAAAGAAGCACAUUCAAGAAUUUGUAUGAGCAACCUACCGGAAACCACGGAGCAACUAGAGAUGAGCAGGAUGGGGCAGAGCUCGGCCCAGGACUCCUAGGCCAGAGCCCUCUUCAUGGGCCCCUGGAUUGGUCCUGGUGCCAUUCUGGACCCAGCUGCCUCCUCUGCAUGUGGAG